AAGUCGUAACAAGGUAAUCGUAGGUGAACCUGCGGUUGGAUCAUUCGAAAUGGAGGCAUGUCGUCGCACCUAUCAGAGGAGGCAUGUCGUCGCACGCAGUGUGACGGCAGGACGACUCUCACAAAAAGUGUCGACUCUCCUUUUAGAGAGGAGACACAAUCACACCUAAAAACAAGAAAAACAAGAAAAGUGAUGAUGAUGGCAUAUGCCCAUCUCUUUUACACAAUCCAUCAUACGACAUGACAUGACAUGACAUGGCAAUACUAUAACUUUUGACAAUGGAUCUCUUGGUUCUC
rnacentral:misc_RNA from 1 species